rnacentral:miRNA from 1 species
GGCUGCCUGGGAGGCUGGGUUGGAGGAGUCUGGUGGCCUCUUCUCUUCACCUGCCUCUGCCUGCAG